UAGGGGAAGUAAUCUGCAGUUGCUCCUGUGGAGGAAAGAGGUGUUGGGGGUGACUAAGCCUGGCAAGGAGAGAAGGAUCAGUCUGCAGGCAGAGAAUAGAAAGGACUGAAGGUUCACCAAUGGCCAAGGCCACUGCAAUGACAAGAAGUAAUUGAGAUAUAUGGAGGGCUGGUCUCCACUACAGGAAGAUCAAUGGUGCUGCAAUCAAUGACCUGCUAAAUUGACCGGUUGACCCCAGUACUCCUCCUCUCCGAGAAGAGUAAGGUUUUACCUCUGUGACUUUAUCUAUGGAUAUAAACUGAAUCACUCUGGAAAUAGCCGUGGAAGGCUUUAUGCCAGAGACCUCUCUUCACUUUUCCCUUAGUCUGGGGGCUAGUAAUUUGCUGCAGAACACAGUGUUUACAUCCAUUCUCCACUAUGCUGGUUCAGCUGGAAGAGAUGUGCAAGGGUAAAAAAAGAGAGAGAUGGCAAAUAAGCCCCAAUUCCCUAUUCUUCUAACAGUGAAACCGAUUGCAUCUGAGUUUGGGUUUUCUGUGGGUGGUAUCACUUUCAUCUUAGGAUGUAUAUGGAAUUUAAUUUGUUCUUUCUUUCUGGAUAUGACUUUUCAAGAGCUCUGAAGACCUAUUUUCAAACUGACUUUGGCGCAAAGUGUUUGGUCUUACAUCAGUGAAGUCAAUGGGAGCUUUGCCAUCUCGGUGUAUUCUUCCAAGAUUCUGACUGUACGAAGGCUUUAAAAAGACAUUAUAUAUUCUAUCUGGAAUGUGGUAAGAUCUGGUCUUUUACUGUUGUUUUAUGGAAGCACACUUAUCAUUGGCAAGAAGGUGAUUGUCCAUUUCACAUGCCUUUUACUUAGCCGUAUCUGAAAAGUAGUGCAAUAAAAAAUGUGACUUGUUUAAUGAACUCCCAGUUUUAAAACAGACUUUUUGUUCCUACCAAAUGCCAUUUAAUAACUAGAAAAUAAAUCAAAAAUAAUAUUUAAACACAUUAAUAUGUUAGCAAGGAGUUUAAUAAAAUGCUUUUAAAUUGUA